CCCAAAAAACGUUCGCAGUAAAACUUGGAAAAUUCGAGCAGACACAUGAAAAUCGCCUGGAAAAUUGUGCAAAAUUAGCUGAACAAAUUUGUAAAAUUCAUAUAUAACAAGUGGGGCGUCGGCAGAACAAUGGCCUGGCUUGCAUAUUAAAGAGGAAAAAGGACACAGAGACACGAAAAACAUGGAGUUACCCAGCAGAUCCUGGCUGCUUGGCAGCAUCCUGGCCCUACUAUUGAUUGCCCGAGUCUUUGGAAACAUAGCAAAUU
rnacentral:sRNA from 1 species